UUUAACUGCAGGGCCCUGUCUCCUAUAGCUCCCAAUUUCCACGUAUGAUCAAGACCGCUCUGGGGUAGAAUUAUAAUCACUCCCUACCCAAGUGAGUGAUCCGAGAGGAUGGGUAUAUGCUUCCAGUUACUUGCUUAUUCGGUCAACAAAACAUACGAAGCACCAGGCACCAUAUGGAGCUGGAAUACAUCAGUAACCAAGACUCACAGCUUCCAGUCUCCAGAGCUCUCCAGUGAGUGGAAAUAAGACAGCUUUCACUCGACAGCCGGGCGUGGUGGAGCACAUCUGAGGGCCCAGCUACUCGGGAGCUGAGGCAGGAGGAUCCCUUAAGCCUGGGAAGUCAAGGCUGCAGUGAGCCGAGAUGGGUGCCACUUCACUCCAGCCUAGGCGACAGAGUGAGACUUGCAGAAGGAAAGAGAGAAAAGAAAUACAGUAACAGUUAAUAAAAUUCUUAACACACAUGUAAUAAUGUAUUUUACUCACACAUUAAAUAACAAGACUAAAGUUGC
rnacentral:lncRNA from 1 species